AUAUGUUAUACUAACAUAUGUUAAUGUUUUGGUAAGGUCGGUCAAAUGAAAUGAAAAUACAACACAACCAAAGUUAAAAUAAGAGUGGUCAUGGAUUAGGAUUGAUUGUUGCCGGUGCCAUUGUUUAUUAUUGUGUUUUUGUUGACUCUGAAUAUGUUAAAUAUAGUAACAAUGCCAGUGAACAUUCAAAAUCAAGUUGGUUUAAAGGUGUGAAUUAAUACAUGUUAGGUGACUCAGCGCUUCAAUGUUGUCACUGUCGCAGCACAGAGCUCCACAAAUACCAAGUGUGCUCAACAUAUUAGCCAAGAA